GCCACUACUCAACUCAUGAAACAAAACCAAACCCAGUCAUACAUCUUCAAUUUUUCUUUCCCAUCUUCAAUCUAAAUCACCAGUUUCCGAAAAUUGCUAAAAAAUACACCACAAUCUAGUUAGACUGAAGUCUAAUGGAGUGGUCUCAUUAUGCCCUAGCAGCAGCAUUUUCAAUUCCAAACUCAAAGCCUACUCUAACAAACUAAUUACUUAUUCACUUGUAUCUUUAAAACCAUUCUAUGAUUGAAUACCAUUGAAGUUUUUCAGCAACCAAGCUCAAAACAUUUAAAGAGAUAGUUUGAGUUCGCGCUUAACUAAAUUCCGUAAGAAAAAAGAGAGGGAAAUGGAGACUGACGCUUGAGCAAAAGCGCGUAGGAAGUGAACAUCUUGUGCGAUGUAAUGGCGGAAGGAAUCUAUGUGGAGGUUGCCGGAGGCCAAGGCGAUGACAAAUGGCGUGUACAUGGCGAAGACGGACUCGCGCGUGAACUUGAUCCAGAAGCGCCGUGCGAGUCCCGAUUCGUUGUUGACGGAGGCGGCGAUCGAUGUCAUUCUCCUUCCGAUUGGGGAUCUGAGAGUAGUGUGGUUGCGCGUUAAGGCCGAGUCGAAGCGGCAGGAUCUGAGGGAGCUGAGAAGGCGGAACGACGAUGGUGGUGAUGACGUGGCGGCGAUGAGGGUUUUGAUUGGGUUUGGGAGGAAGAACCGCAUGCGCAUCACAUCACAUCACAUCACAGGUAAUUAUUUAUAUAUGUAGAUAUAUAGUACAGUAUUACUAGAAAUAUACACGCGAAGAGAGAUGGAUAUGUAGCCGCCCGGAUAUGAUGGGCCUGGGUUUUCGGGUAUCCUGGUGUCUGAAAAUGGACCUUUAAUUUCAACGUAUGGGUGAUUCGUUUGGGCUAGUGACAAUUUUGAUGGUCGUAAAUUUUGCACCGCGAAAUCUAAUCCCCUGGAAAAGACCCAAAAAACAGAGUCUAAUCCCCUGGACCUAACUCAGGAAUAGGGCGGUGAAACGAGUCUAAUCAUUUAGGUAUUGUUUAUUUGGAAUGAAAAUAUAUGGACAGAAAAGUAAAGCAAGGAAGUGUUAGGGAAAAUUGCACUUUUUUCCUGUUUGUCCGGAAAGAAAAAAUUAAAAGAAAACUUAAAUAGUUAAAAAAGAAAAAGUAAUGGACUUCACUCACACACAAUUUUUCCUCCCCAUUAUGGGCGGAAAAUUGGAUGAAAAAAUAAAAGCAAGAGUAAUUUUUCACAUUUAUCCCUUCUACAAAAGAAAAAAAAAAGAAAAAAAUGAGUUCUUUUACAUAAUGUUUGAGUGCAUUUAUGUUCUGCCGAAGUAUCAUAUUUAUCAUUUAGUUUAGUUUUAAUUUCGAUUUUUUAUUUUUUAAUUAAAAAAAAGUAUCUAAUAAAAAUACCAAAACUCAACCUCUACUGCAAAAUCAGAAUGUAUUUCUCAUUUAUUCACGAUGUUACCCUUAACAUUCUAAUUCAACCAUUUUCGGUCUAAGUUUACACAAAUAGAUUAGGGUUUUAUGAUUUUUAAUAUAAUUUUUUUUUAUAUAUGAAACUAAGUCUGUAAUAUGGACUUUAUGAUAGUUCUUGAAAUUUUAUUUUUCGUUUUUAAUUUAAAGUUAUAGCAUUGUAGUAUCUAUUUUUUAGAUUAUUUUUUCUGUUUUGCAAUCAGUUAUGAACCUUGUAAUUUGGAUGCGUUAUUUUUUUUGCUCUGUUAUAACUAAAAAAAUCAAAAGGUGUGAAGAUAAAAAAUCAAGAGUUUUUUAAAUUGUGUUAGUUACAAAUAAAGGUUAGAGUGUUAUCAAUUUUAAAUAUUUUAUUUGAUCUUUUUAUAUAUAUAUUGUUUAUUCUGUUGUUGUUGUUGAUGUUAGUUUUUGGCUUUUGUUAAAAAUGGCAUUGCAAUAUAUAAAUUUGAAAUGUAUUAAACGUAGGAAAAAAUUGUCUUUCAUUCGUUGCUUGCUUUAAACAUGAUUUGAUUAUUUUUGUAGUUUGGACAUGUAAUAUACGUUGGUGAUGAAAAUUGAAAAUUAUUUGAUUGUAGUAUUGUAAUUGAAAUCAUAACAUAAAAAAUAUUUUUUUUAAUGAUUUUCCAUUUCCCCAUAUAUUCAACUUUAUAGUUGAAAAUCAAGAGCGUAGGUUAGCUGUUCCUAAAGGUAAUUAGGGACAUAUAUGCACUAUUGAAAGUGAAGAAUAUUUAUCAACUUUUCUUAAAGAAAUUGGAAGAGGGAUAAGCGACUUUGCACAAUAACAAUGUGUUAUACUGUACACAUGUUAUAUUUACUGAAUGUAUUAGCCAAGAAGGUUGAGAAACCCAUAAGAAAUCACAUUAUUGGGAGAGAACAAAUUCGAGCCACUUUGUUGCAACAGUUGCGCAAAACCAACAAGUGUCGUAAUAUUUUGCGAAAGGGCCCUCAUGCCUAUAUAGAGUUAUGUGAAAAACUAAGGUCAACUGGUCAUGUGAAAGAUACUAUACAUGUCACACUUGAAGAGCAAGUAGCUAGAUUCUUAUAUAUUAUAGCUUAUAAUGUUAAAAAUAAAACCAUUUCAUUUUUCUUCCACCGAUCCGGAGAAACAAAAUGUCGUAAUUUCUAUGCUGUUUUAAGAGUUGUAAUCUCACUUGAAAAAGAGUUUCUUCAGCAACCUUCCGGAACUACCAUUUCUUCAGAGAUUCUUCAUAGCAAUAGAUUUUACCGAUAUUUUAAGGUAUGACUAGUUGCACAUUGAAGUAGAUAGUUAUAGUUAGCAUACACAAUAAAAUUUUCUUUUUAAUUAAGCAAUAUCAUAUAGGAUUGUAUUGGAGCCAUUGAUGGAACACAUGUUAGAAUCAAAGGUUCCAAUAGCUAAUCAACCUAAAUUUUGUGGUAGAAAAGAAUGGCCAACUCAGAAUGUACUUGCUAAGUAUGGCUUUGAUAUGAGAUUCACAUAUGCUUUAGGAAGAUGGGAAAGCACUGCAUCUGACUCAAAAUUCUUAAGAGUGCAUUAUCAAGGGAUGAUAGGCUCAAAUUCUAAGAGGUAUAUUUGUUAAAAAAAACUUUGACAUGUUUAAAUAAAGUAGUGAUAUCUAAAGUAUGCUCUCUAUAUGAAUUUUUUUAGGAAAAUUUUACCUUGAAAAAUGUUGUAUUCAUUCUUAAACAUGCUCUAAUUACUUCAUAUUGAGGUGAAAAGUACCAUCUAAAGGAGUUUGCUAGAACCUAAAAAUGCGUACUAAUUAUUUAAUCUCCGUCAUUCGUCCUUACGAAAUGUGAUCGAACGAUCCUUUAGAGUUUUGAAAAAUAGGUUUACAAUAAUAGCAAGUGGUACAGAACCAUAUUAUGAUGUGGAGGUUAUGGUGACAUUGUCCGAGCAUGCAUUAUACUCUACAAUUUUUUAAUGAAUGUAGAUCCUGAUUAGCUUUUAAUUGCUCAAGUGGAUCCAGAAUUACAAAAUAAUAAUCCAAAAGCCACUUAUGAGAAAAGGGAAGAAGUAAGUGAAGAUUAUAAGCGAGGUGCAGCUCUUAGGGAUAACAUUGCGGCUCAAAUGUAGGUUGACUAUCAAAUGAGAAAAUGAUAUUUUUGUAAACCUAUCAUCCUUACUAACGAGAAUUACAUUUUAGUUUCAACGAAAAAUGUAAUGUGUGAAUUUUAUGUGAAUGUCAUGUGCAUUAUGUAUCACACUAAUAUUUUGAAAUACGUAAAACUCAUGAACAUUGUGAAUUCGUGAUAUUAUUGUAUAUAGAAUGUGUAGUUAAAACAUUCACUUAUGAUGACAAUGAUUUUCUAGAAUUAAUUAAAUUACUUGUAACAUACAAAUCACUUCUUAAGGUAAUAUCCUUGAUUAAUUGAUGAAUUAAUUAUUAACACUUAGAUAAAUCCCAUUUUUAGGGUUUAUUUGGUGCUUAAUUUAGGAGAUUUUAUCACCUUUUCUUACAUUUAUCCAAAAAAAUAGCAUGGUUUCAUAAUUGUCUCCUAAUUUGUGCUUAAGUGUGAAAAUAUAUUUUUUAGGCCUUAAUUGGCUAAAUUUAAUUCACCUUUGAUUCCAUUAGAUGCCUUGAUGUGUUUGUUAGUGAAUUCAGGAUAGAAAGUCUAGGAAUGGAUCAAAGGGGUGAAGAGAAAAAGCAUGCAAGUGGAGAACUCAUGAAGAAACAAGGAUUUGGGAUGCUGAGAUCGACGCGCACGCACAGCAUACGCGCACGCGUGGAUUGUGAGGUCGCAUGGCGACGCGUACGCGUACUUGACACGUACGCGUGGAUAGCAAUUUGUCAAGCGACGCGUACACGUGACCCACGCGUACGCGUCGGUGCUCGCACGUGACUCACUUAAAGGCAAUUCGCUGGUGGUGAUUUCUGUGCUUCGCAGGCCCAAAUCCAACUCACAUCUGAUGCUAUUUAACCCAAGGAUUGAAGGCGGAUCAACCAUCUAGUUACCAAUUAGUCUUAGUUAGGUUAGAGGUAGAUUAGGAUUUCUUAGAUUUAGGUUAAUUUCAUGCUUUGAUUUACUUUUCCUUUUGUAAUUCUUGUUCUUCUACAUCUCCUCUCUCUAGUUUAGCAUUUAAUUCUUGUAAUUCACUACUUUGAUAUUGAUGCACUUUUGUUUCUUCUAUUUUCUUUUAAUGCAAAUCAUGAUUCAUGUUCCUUUACUGUUCAUUUGAUUUGUUGUUGUUAAUUCCUUGCUUUUGGUAGUUAUAGAUUUAUAAUUCUUGCAAUUUGAUCUUACUUUCCUUUUGUGCCUUCCAAGUGUUUGGUAAAAUACUUGGAAAGAACUUAGAGUAGAUUUUUGUGUUUUUGGCUUGGGAAGGUAACUUAAGAAUUCUUGAGUCACUAAUGUCCAAGUGAUUGAUAAUUGGUAGCCAUUGACUCUAGCUUGCACUAAUUCAAUUAGUGAGUGGCCAGGACUUAUGGACUUGGAUUGAUAUAUCUCAUUUGACUUUCCUUUACUUGUUAAAGGAUGACUUAAUGGGAUUGAUCCUUGCAAUUAUCAUGUUGUGGUUAGUGAUAAGGAUAGAGAUUCUUGACCACCAAACCUUGCCAAGACCUCUUUUUACCAUUUAAUUUUUAUUGCCAUUUACUUUUCUUGUUUCUUACCCAAAACCCCAAAAGAUACUUCAUAGCCAAUAACAAGAACACUUUAUUGCAAUUUCUAGGGAGAAUGACCCGAGGUUUGAAUACUUCGGUUAUUAAUUUUAGGGGUUUGUUACUUGUGACAAACAAUUUUUUGUAUGAAAGGAUUAUUGUUGGUUUAGAAACUAUACUUGCAACGAGAUUUCAUUUGUGAAUUCUAAAGCGUCAAGAAUCCAUUAAUCAAAAUGGGAGGUUAGGAAUGCUUGGUUUGGUGCAAGAACAUGGAAAAAUUUUGAAAAACAGAGCAUCAAUCCACGCGCACGCGUGCCUCACGCGUACGCGUAACCCAAGUAUUUUCGACCAUCCACGCGCAUGCGUCACCCACGCGUACAUGUGGAUGCAAAAAUUUUACCUCCCAGCCAUUUUCCAGAGAGUUGCGCCUAUACUGCACCAACAUUGUGCCUGAGGCACGAAAAUCAACCCACGCGUAUGCAUGCCUCACGCGUACGCGUCGCCUCUCUGGUUUGCCAUGCACGCGUACGCACUAUCCACGCCUACGCGUCGCGCCAUUUCACCUCAAUCCACGCGGACGCGUGACAGACGCAUAUGCGUGGAUAGCCCUCUUCCAUCACCUUCUUUUCUCAUCUUCUUCUCAUUUCUUUCCUUCUUCUUUCUUCUUUCCUUCUCCUACCCCUCAUCCAACACUACCAAACACCAUUUAUAACCAUUCCUUUUCGUUAGUUGUUUAGUUAGUUUAAAUCUUCAUUUUAUUUUCUCUUUUUCAUACUAAGUGUUGGAUUGUUAAUCUUGUUUACUGUCCAUUGCUGCUGACUAUUGAUGAAAUGUUAGUUUAACAUCCUUGUUGUUAAUUUCUAUUGUUGGAUUUCAUUGUUGAGGAUACAAUUAAUUACUUAGUUUUUGAACCUUUUCAUGCUUAAUUUUGAGUACACCAAGUUUAUGAGACUUUGCCUUCAAGCUUUUUAAAUCUUUUUGAAUUGCAUGACUUGGCCACCAUGUGAUUUAAAUUCUUUUCUUUGAUUAGGCAAUUUCUUGAUGGAUGUUAUGCAUUUAUCUUAAUACAUUGUGUUUCAUGAUCAUAUGCAUCCAUAUGUUGUUUUUGGCUUGAAUGCUUUCAUGCUUCUUUAUUGCUUGUUUGGUUAUUUUGACCCACAAGUUUAGAGCAUCUCAAGCAAAUUAGGGUGAGUGAAGUGCAUGCUUCUUUUUGUGUAAAUGUGACAUAGCUUUUUAUGCUAGUGUGUUCUAGACCGCAUGCAUCUUAGAACUCACAGGCGUGUUUCAUUAAUGUAACACACUUGGUCACUGAUGCACCACUAUUUUAUGGUACAUCUUGUGCUUAAUUGAGUGGAUUUUAUCCACUAUUCUCACACUUGUUCAUGUAAAUUGCAUGUUUUACAUUUUUCUUCCUAAUUCUGUGUUUUGAUUGAAAACAUGCUUCUUUGGCCUUAAAAUUGCUAAUUAUUAAUUCCCUCUUAUUACCAUUUAAUUCCUUGAUAUGUGUGUUAAGUGAUUUCAGAGUUUAUAGGGCAGGAAUGGCUUAGAUGAUGGAAAGGAAGCAUGUAAAAGUGGAAGGAAUACAAGAAACUGAAGGAAUUGUAAAGCUGUCCAGCCUGACCUCUUGGUACUAACUCGACCAUAACUUGAGAUACAGAGGUCCAAAUGAGGCGGUUUCAGUUGCGUUGGAAAGCUAACAUCCGGGGCUUCGCAAAGAUAUAUAAUUUGCCAUAGCUGCCUUGAAGAUAGGCGACGCGCACGCGUGGAUCACGCACACGCAUGGCCUGGAGAAAACUCAAUCCACGCGUACGCGUGGACGACGCGUACGUGUGACUUUGCAUCGUGCUGGACGUAUCAGAAAUUGCUGGAGGCGAUUUUUGGGCUAUUUCUGACCCAGUUUUUAGCCAUGAAAACACAGAUUAGUGGCUAUAAAGUGGGGGAGGGGGGAAUCGAUUCAUUCAUAAAAAAAAGGACAACAAUCAUAAUUCACAAUUUUAGGUUUUAGAUGUAGUUUCUAGAGAUUUAGGAUUUUGGAUUUUUCUUAGGUUAGGUUUACUUCUUCUCCUUUCCAGGUUCAAUGUUCCCUUAAUGUGAUUUCUCUUCUACUUUUAUUUACUCUAUUACUUUAGUUGCUCUAUUUCACUUGCUAAUUACUUAUGUUGCGAAAUUGGCUUAUGAACUCUUCAUGUUAAUUUGAUUUCCUAUUUAAUACAAUUCGAGGUAUUUCAGAUUUAUGGUUGCUUUCUUCUAUUUAUGAUAUAAAUAAUUUGGAUUUUUCCCCUUUUGGCUUUGGUUGAGUAAUUGUUGACACUUGAGUUGUCAAACUCAGCUGUUGAUUGAAAAUUGGAAAUUGCUGAUUGAUUUGGAUCCCUCUAAAGCUAGUCUUUCCAUAGGAGUUGACUAGGACUUGAGGAAUCAAAUUGAUUAGUCCACUUGACUUUCCUUUAUUUAGUAAGGAUUAACUAAGUGGGAGCAAUAACAAUUCUCAUCACACCUGAUAAGGAUAACUAGGAUGGGAUUUUCAGUUCUCAUACCUUGCCAAGAGUUUUUCUAGUUUUUAAUUUAAUUUCCUGUUCCUUAUUCAAAAACUCCAAAAAGAUAAUCUUCCAUAACCAAUAAUAAAUACAUCUCCCUACAAUUCCUUGAGAGACGACCCGAGGUUUAAAUACUUCGGUUAUCAAUUUUAUUAGGGGUUUGUUACUUGUGACAACCAAAAAUUUUGCACGAAAGGAUUUCUUGUCAGUCUAGAAGCUAUACUUGCAACGAGAACUUAAUUGUGAAAAUUCUAGACCGCGCGAGAGUUUUGUUCGUCAAAAUGAUGCCGUUGCCAGGAAAAUGCAAACGUGUGCCUUAUUAUUGGUUAUUGUAAAUAUUUGCUUUUGCUUGUUUAGUUGUUUUUGUUUUUAAUUUUUUUAUUAGCUACUAUGAAUUCUCACCCCUAUCGCUAUGAGUUUGGUUCCAAUGUUGUUGUAAGGAAUGGAAGCUAUAAUGAGAACAGGCAUCAAGGUUGGAAGAAUCAAAGAUGGGAGGAGCCACAAGGAUUUGAUCAACCCUCUUGGCAACAACCCCCUCUAAUGCACUCUAACCAACAACCAUUCUGUAAUGCAUACCAAGACAAUAGUUAUGGUGGACCCUUUCGUGACAAACCAUUUCCACCAAAUUACUAUGGUCAAGAGCCAUUCCAGGGAGCGUACCAAGAUGAUGAAUAUGGUGGACCCCCUUGUAGUUACCAACAAGCCCCACCAUAUGCUUAUGAACCACCUCUCCAACAUACCUUUGAACCACCAUACUCACAAGCCCCCUUCCACCAUUCACCUCCAUAUGACACUAACCCUUAUCCACCAUACCAACCACCCUAUAAGCCGUACGAACCAUACAUAGAGCCACCCCAAUUCUAACCCAAUUACUCCCAAGAACCACCACCUCCAUAUACACCAUGUCCAUAUCCAUCAAUCCAAGAGCACUAUCAUCCUACUUAUGAUAGCCGAGCGCAACAAGAAUCAAAGGAUCGUCUCGAGGAAACAGUAGAUCGAUUUCAUGCAACCCUUCAUCAAUUGGAGCAAGCAAUAAAUCGAUUAGCUUCCCAACGUUCGGACACUCAAGGAACUCCCACGGCUUCAUGUGGAGAAUCUACUGAAGAACGUAGCAUGAAGGAGAAGCUAGAAACUCUAGUGGACAGUGAGCAGUAUAACUUUAUAUUGGAACAAUUGGAGGAAGCCGUAAUCGUUGAAGAGGAAGAAGUGGUCAAAAACUUAGGAGAUGCGGAACGUCCAUGGAAAAGCCCAGUCAUAGAGUCCCCUUCUAAGGGGAUGAUCAAGAGAUGGAUUCAAUCAUUGAUGAAUUCUUAUCUACAUUUGAAUCCUCUCCCAUUGGACUUGACAUGGAGAUUAAAGAAGAAGAAGCACAACCUCCCAUGCCCUUGGUGAACAAUGAAGAAGAGAUCGAAUUGGAAGAAAGCUACCAAGAGGAAGAGGUUGAUAUUGAAGAAGCUUGCAAAGAGGUGGAAGUUGUUAAAGAAGAGCCCAAGGGAAUGGAGCUGGAGAUCACCUUGCCAAGGUUGUUGGAGACUUCUCCCCCAAAGCCAUCACCAUCCAUCCCUUCAUUCAAGUGGGUAAAUCUCUCAUCUCUAAGCUUAAUUAGCCCACUUGAAUAUGCUUUGCUUGAGACGGAUGGGCAACUUAGAGCUCUUUGUGGCUAUAAGAGUAAGAGGGAGAUGGUCAGUGGUUGGCAACACAAUCCUAGGUUCAUUGUGGUAGGAAGCUCACGGCUGAAUUAUCAUGGUUGGAAGAAUACUAAAUUGUAUGGGUCUAGGAAGCUGUUUGGAUGCCUCAGUGAGAAUUCAGAUUGCUUACCACCCGGUUGGAACAAAGAUGGUCAACAAGAAGACGGGUGCAAAAGCAAGGUUUGGGACCCUGGAAUUCAGUCCAGCAAUCAACACUCUUGGGGCCUUGUCACUUGCUUAAUCUUGCUUGAAGGCUCUUUGCGCCUAGUUUGGGAUUCCGGAGGCCAUUGGAAUUACAAACAUUGGUGGGGAUUCCUGGAUGAGUUCAAGCACAAGCCACCAUAACAAGGGACUCACCAAAUGUCCAACUUAAAAAGUGCUAGGUGGGAGACAACCCAACAUGGUAUAUUCUUUCCUUUUUGUUCUUAGUUUUAUUUUAUUUUCAUUCGUGUUCAUUCAUAAUUUCUGCACAGUCAUUUGCAUUAUGCAUUUUGCAUUUUGCAUUCUGCAUACUGCAUAAAAAAAAAUUUGUACGCGACGCGCAAGCGUCGCUGAUGCGUACGUGUCAUAUGUGCAUGCGAAACAAAGAAGAACUAAACAAACAGUUGUGCGAGAGCAUGGCUGGAGGCGUGCUUUAGGCACAAACACGCCCACGUGUACGCGUCCCUGACGCGUCCGCGUCACUUGCAAAAUCAGCCUUCCACGCGUACGUGUCACCCACGCGUACGCGUGACCCUACAAAUUCGACGUAAAAGGUGUAUUGGCCGAAAGUUAUGCUGGCUUGGUGCUGGAAUUUUGCUAGAAGCACAAACCCACCCACGCGUAUGCGUCGUUAACGCGUGCGCGUCAUUUUCCACUUUUGCACUUCCAAACAUGNNNNNNNNNNNNNNNNNNNNNNNNNNNNNNNNNNNNNNNNNNNNNNNNNNNNNNNNNNNNNNNNNNNNNNNNNNNNNNNNNNNNNNNNNNNNNNNNNNNNNNNNNNNNNNNNNNNNNNNNNNNNUUCAUUCAAGUGGGUAAAUCUCUCAUCUCUCAGCUUAAUUAGCCCACUUGAAUAUGCUUUGCUUGAGACGGAUGGGCAACUUAGAGCUCUUUGUGGCUAUAAGAGUAAGAGGGAGAUGGUCAGUGGUUGGCAACACAAUCCUAGGUUCAUUGUGGUAGGAAGCUCACGGCUGAAUUAUCAUGGUUGGAAGAAUACUAAAUUGUAUGGGUCUAGGAAGCUGUUUGGAUGCCUCAGUGAGAAUUCAGAUUGCUUACCACCCGGUUGGAACAAAGAUGGUCAACAAGAAGACGGGUGCAAAAGCAAGGUUUGGGACCCUGGAAUUCAGUCCAGCAAUCAACACUCUUGGGGCCUUGUCACUUGCUUAAUCUUGCUUGAAGGCUCUUUGCGCCUAGUUUGGGAUUCCGGAGGCCAUUGGAAUUACAAACAUUGGUGGGGAUUCCUGGAUGAGUUCAAGCACAAGCCACCAUAACAAGGGACUCACCAAAUGUCCAACUUAAAAAGUGCUAGGUGGGAGACAACCCAACAUGGUAUAUUCUUUCCUUUUUGUUCUUAGUUUUAUUUUAUUUUCAUUCGUGUUCAUUCAUAAUUUCUGCACAGUCAUUUGCAUUAUGCAUUUUGCAUUUUGCAUUCUGCAUACUGCAUAAAAAAAAAUUUGUACGCGACGCGCAAGCGUCGCUGAUGCGUACGUGUCAUAUGUGCAUGCGAAACAAAGAAGAACUAAACAAACAGUUGUGCGAGAGCAUGGCUGGAGGCGUGCUUUAGGCACAAACACGCCCACGUGUACGCGUCCCUGACGCGUCCGCGUCACUUGCAAAAUCAGCCUUCCACGCGUACGUGUCACCCACGCGUACGCGUGACCCUACAAAUUCGACGUAAAAGGUGUAUUGGCCGAAAGUUAUGCUGGCUUGGUGCUGGAAUUUUGCUAGAAGCACAAACCCACCCACGCGUAUGCGUCGUUAACGCGUGCGCGUCAUUUUCCACUUUUGCACUUCCAAACAUGCGCGUGCCUGACGCGCACGCGUCAUAUGACAUUUUGGCACAUAUCCCAAAACGAACAGAGGGUUGUGCGUGCGCGAGGCUGGCUUCACGCGAGUAGCACAAACUCGGUCACGUGUACACGUGCGCGACACGCUCGCGUCGCCUUCUCAAUUGUGCGCCCCACGCGUACGCGUCGACAGUGCCGCAUGACCAGAACCCUGCAAUGCCCACUUUACUUAUCUUUUCUUUCCCAAUCCUAAUUUCUUUUCUUCUAUCUUCUCUCCCUUCUUAUUCUUUCUCUUUCCUUUCUUACUUCCUUCUUCUUCAUUUCUUUGACUUCUCCUCCUUAUUUUCUUCCAUUCUAUUUUACUUAAUUUAUUUAUAUAUUUUCGUUCAUUACAUUUUAACUGUAUACAUGUUUUUUAUUUUCUUUUCUAUGUUUAUUAUUUUUCUAUUGGUGUUAAAUGUCCUUAUUCCACUGUUGCAUUUCUCUUGCUUUCUUUUGGUGCUUCGUGACUUGUUUCCAUUGUUAGGUAAUAUUAUUUAUAGGUCAAUGCUAAUUUUUUAUGAUACUUGUAUUCCAUUUGCAUUGACAUGCUCCUAUAUUGUCUUUCAUUACCUACACUCUCUCCCCUAUUAUUGCACUUUUUGCACUAUUGAUAUGCCAUUUACUUCUAUUGUUUUCUCACUUGCAUGUUGUAGCUACCAUGUAAUUGAGACCCUCAUUAUUCGGCAUAAACCCACCCAUAUUUUAUUUGUUUUCCAUCUUUGCUCUUGGGUUACUUUUCCUCCUGUUCCUCUUCUUUCAGGGUGGCCAUCGAGAACGGAAAGGAGAAGUUUCUAAAUGGGACGAACAACAAGUCCAUCUGCAUAAUCCACUAAAGAAGGAGCAUCAAUUGGAGUAACCCGCCCACUUGCGCAUCUCAGCAUGCACCGAGGACGGUGCAAUCUUUAAGUGUAGAGAGGUCGAUACCGAUCUCCAUGGGUCAGUACUUUCCUGUCUCAACACCAAUGUUUAAAUUUUCUUUGUAGUUAGUUAUUGCA
rnacentral:lncRNA from 1 species